rnacentral:rRNA from 1 species
GACGAACGCUGGCGGCGUGCUUAACACAUGCAAGUCGAACGGAAAGGCCCUGCUUUUGUGGGGUGCUCGAGUGGCGAACGGGUGAGUAACACGUGUGUAACCUGCCCUUGACUUUGGGAUAACUUCAGGAAACUGGGGCUAAUACCGGAUAGGAGCUCCUGCUGCAUGGUGGGGGUUGGAAAGUUUCGGCGGUUGGGGAUGGAAUCGCGGCUUAUCAGCUUGUUGGUGGGGUAGUGGCUUACCAAGGCUUUGACGGGUAGCCGGCAUGAGAGGGUGACCGGCCACAUUGGGACUGAGGUACGGACCAGACUCCUACGGGAGGCAGCAGUGGAGAAUAUUGCACAAUGGGCGGAAGCCUGAUGCAGCAACGCCGCGUGCGGGAUGACGGCCUUCGGGUUGUAAACCGCUUUCGCCUGUGACGAAGCGUGAGUGACGGUAAUGGGUAAAGAAGCACCGGCUAACUACGUG